rnacentral:rRNA from 1 species
UACGUAGGGUGCGAGCGUUGUCCGGAAUUACUGGGCGUAAAGAGCUCGUAGGUGGUUUGUCGCGUUGUUCGUGAAAACUCACAGCUCAACUGUGGGCGUGCGGGCGAUACGGGCAGACUGGAGUACUGCAGGGGAGACUGGAAUUCCUGGUGUAGCGGUGGAAUGCGCAGAUAUCAGGAGGAACACCGGUGGCGAAGGCGAGUCUCUGGGAUGAUGCUGACGCUGAGGCGCGAAAGCCAGGGGAGCAAACGGG